AUGAUUUCGGGAUGGAAAUUCAUGAUUUCAUAAUGUAGAGGAAUCAAGACCGUUACAAGCGUUACACGUACUUGGCAAACCGUAGGUGGGACCAUCAUCAUCGUUUAAAUCACUAGAUAAAAAAGUACCUCAAAUCAAUGAAAUUGUAUUUUAAAACUGACUCCGGGUCAAAAUGACCUUGCAAAUAUAAAACAAAGACUAAUGGCCUCAAAACUCUGAAAAGGUUUUCGAGAAUGUCCUGACUCUAUCAAAACAAUCACGAAAACGCAAAAAAAAAAACCUUACACACUAAUCCAGGCUCCGUUUUUU